rnacentral:rRNA from 1 species
UACGAAGGAUGCGAGCGUUAUCCGGAUUUAUUGGGUUUAAAGGGAGCGUAGGCGGUCUUAUAAGUCAGUGGUGAAAUCUCGUUGCUUAACAACGAACGUGCCAUUGAUACUGUAGGACUUGAGUAACAGUUGCCGUUGGCGGAAUGUGUCAUGUAGCGGUGAAAUGCAUAGAUAUGACACAGAACACCGAUUGCGAAGGCAGCUGACGAAACUGUAACUGACGCUGAGGCUCGAAAGCGUGGGGAUCAAACAGG